GAUCGAAUAUCGCAAAAAUUAGGGUUUGGAGCGGUCUUUCCUGUCUGGAUUUCAAGCAGCUUCCAUAGAAAAUGGUUUGAGUGUCAGAGACCUGUGAAAACAGGGCUGCGCCAAGUCUAUCAUUCUACCAUUUGGCUUAGAAAGCUGGAUUUUGAUUGUUAGUUUUGCAUUGAUGUCAUUUUACUCCCAAUCACAAGAAGUAUUUCUGUAAUAGAUUUAUAUUUGGUGUUCAGUGGAUGACAAUGUGCACUUUUUGAUGAUUAAUGAAAUGAUUGUGAUUAUGUUCAGCUUA